CCUACGGGAGGCAGCAGUGGGGAAUAUUGCACAAUGGGGGAAACCCUGAUGCAGCAACGCCGCGUGAGUGAGGAAGUAUUUCGGUAUGUAAAGCUCUAUCAGCAGGGACUAGAAAAGACGGUACCUUAAAAAGAAGCCCCGGCUAAAUACGUCCCAGCAGCCGCGGUAAUACGUAGGGGGCAAGCGUUAUCCCGAUUUAAUGGGUGUAAAGGUAGCGUAGACGGAAAGGCAAGUCAGAGGGGAAAGCCCAAGGCUCAACCAUGGUAAUGCUUUUGAAACUGUCAAACUAGAGUACGGGAGAGGCAAGAGGAAUUCCUAGUGUAGCGGUGAAAUGCGUAGAUAUUAGGAGGAACACCAGUGGCGAAGGCGUCUUACUGGACCGAAACUGACGUUGAGGCUCGAAAGCGUGGGGAGCAAACAGGAUUAGAUACCCCAGUAGUC
rnacentral:rRNA from 1 species